AGCGGGUGAAGCUAUCAAGCCCAGAGAGAGACGUGGAGAGGGACGUCUUCCUGUAUAGAGCGUACCUGGCGCAGAGGAAGUUCGGUGUGGUCCUGGAUGAGAUCAAGCCCUCCUCGGCCCCUGAGCUCCAGGCCGUGCGCAUGUUUGCUGACUACCUCGCCCACGAGAGUCGGAGGGACAGCAUCGUGGCCGAGCUGGACCGAGAGAUGAGCAGGAGCGUGGACGUGACCAACACCACCUUCCUGCUCAUGGCCGCCUCCAUCUAUCUCCACGACCAGAACCCGGAUGCCGCCCUGCGUGCGCUGCACCAGGGGGACAGCCUGGAGUGCACAGCCAUGACAGUGCAGAUCCUGCUGAAGCUGGACCGCCUGGACCUCGCCCGGAAGGAGCUGAAGAGAAUGCAGGACCUGGACGAGGAUGCCACCCUCACCCAGCUCGCCACUGCCUGGGUCAGCCUGGCCACGGGUGGUGAGAAGCUGCAGGAUGCCUACUACAUCUUCCAGGAGAUGGCUGACAAGUGCUCGCCCACCCUGCUGCUGCUCAAUGGGCAGGCGGCCUGCCACAUGGCCCAGGGCCGCUGGGAGGCCGCUGAGGGCCUGCUGCAGGAGGCGCUAGACAAGGAGUACCAGGCCAAGGAGAACGACUUUGACAGGCUGGUGCUACAGUACGCUCCCAGCGCCUGAGGCUGGCCCAGAGCUGUCAGGACCAUGAAGCCAGGACAGAGGCCAGGAGCCAGCCCUGCAGCCCUCCCCACCCGGCAUCCACCUGCAUCCCCUCUGGGGGCAGGAGCCCACCCCCAGCACCCCCAUCUGUUAAUAAAUAUCUCAACUCCAGGGUGUUCCACCUG
rnacentral:lncRNA from 1 species